rnacentral:sRNA from 1 species
UCAGAGGCCAAUGCUUUAAGGUUGAGGGAGCUCUUGGUUCUCCUUCCUGCACUCCGUGGAGGCUGCGCAGUUUUGCCCUCGGAGUGGCGCUAAGCAAAGCCUCCAUGUUUUGGAAAAUAUGAAUAAGUGCCCCAAGCAUUCUCUGCGAAACGUGUGGGAACAGAACAAGGGAAUUCAUUUCAUUCAUUAAAGUUACUAUUAGGUUUUUGGCUAAAGCUGCAAGGAGCAAGGUUAGGAGAGAGUUGAAUCUCAGAACUAACUGAAGUUUGACUCACCUUCCUCCUUAAAAGCUGUGGGAUUUGAAGAAAAUCCUUUAACGCCUCUGCCUGACUUUGUCUUGAUUCGAGGAUAUAAUUGCUGUUCCUCCAUAACCCUGGAGGGUUGAGCAAAAAACUCCAUUGCAGCCUAACACUUUCCGCAUCAGGAAAAAACAAACUGAAGGUAUAAAUCCAAGAUGCAUGUUUUUGAAAUCAGGUUUUGAUGGAUAAUGCCUUCUACGUAGCCUCCAUUUUCCUCGAGUUCCAAUCCUCCUGUGGCAGCCUUGAGAGCUAACCGAUUACAGGAAAGAAGACAAUUGAGGGGACACACUAUAGCCACCGUCUCCCAGAAUGCACACCCUACAGCAGAAGUUGCUUUAGUAUUUCCAGCCUGUAAAUACUGCCUUCAGUCAUACAGGGCCCUGCAGAAAAAUGGAUGGAAUGUUCUUCCAGUGAGUGACACAGCAUGACCUAAGAGUGAAGUCAUCGGCACUGGUGAACACUUAGCCAUCAGCAAAAGGAACUGUAAGAGGAACAUCUUGCCCUGGGGUUUGCUUUGGUGUGCGUGGUUGUACCCCCCUACCCCAUGGCCUUUUUGGGUGUCUGCUCAGGGUCAUCUCCCCUUGAAGUGAGAGUACCCCGACGUGUCAGAAUUAAACUCCUCUUGCUUUUACAUCAAUCACUGUCUCCAUGAGUCUCAUUCAAGAGGUCCUGGAAGAGGUUCAAUUCAGACCUCACAGUACCAGGGAUCAGACCUAGGGCCUUUUACAUUCUGAGCAAAGCCUUUCCCCCUGAGCUGUGCCCUAACCCUCACCCAACACUUGCCCUUGAACCAUAGCAAAGGAAAACUUGGAUUCCAAUUAACAAUCAAUAAUGAAAUGCCCUGCCUUACAGCCCCAGCCCCAAAUGAGUGACUCUUGCUUUUAAAGGAAGCUUUUUCUGUGCACUGUAAUAACUGACCCAUUGUGACACACAUCACUCCCUAGCCACUGAGGGGGCAACUGUGGCCUGGCACACCAGAUAAAGGACUGGCUUUGAAAUUGAGUAAGAGCCCAAAUGCCAGAUCUACAAGUAACUUUGAGAUCGCAGACAUUUCACCUCCCAGUUUCCGCUUCCUUACCAGAAGGACAGCAGCCCUUCUCAUACAGUAGUGACAGAGGGCUUGAUGAUCUCCAGAUGGGCAGCUGCAUCCUAACAGGACAUUCAUCUGACGGCUCCCCAAAGGAGGAACCAGUCAUUUGGACACUAGAUUUGUGAGUUCAUCAUUAUGUCUUAGUCUUAGUCGGCUAACACACCGACCAGCAAUAUAAUGAUUUGAACCAGUCAAAACAAGGAUUUGGUGUUUUAGGGUAUGUGUGUGGGAGGCAAGGUAUUUGAGAUCAGAUCUCUAUAUAUAACCCUGAUGUCCUGUAACUAUGUAAAACCAGGCUACCUCUUACUCAGAGGUAGCCUCCCAAGUACCAGGAUUAAAGGUGAAUACUACUACACCUAUCCUUCUGUGUAAUUUUUCAAAAUGCUGCUGGAUAUCUGGGUGAAAAAUGUUUAUAUAUAUUGUUGGAAGGAAGACUUGAUAUAGGAGAAUAUAUUAUAGAUUCUGUUUAAAGAAUUUGGCAGAUUAUGCCAAAACUUUGAAAACAGCCAUAUCCUUUAAAGUUUCACUUUUGAGCAUUUGCACUGACAAUGCUCCACAAAUAAAAAUAGUCAAAUGUUUGUCUCACUGAUAGGCAGCAAACACAAAGGAACACAGAAGCAUCUGACAAUGGGAGGAUAAAUUUUAUUCAGUAGCCUGUUAGAAUGAGAGUCAGGGAAUGCAGGGCAGCUGGCAAAGGCAAUGUGCUGUUUGUCAACUUGUGACUCAAGAAUGAUUUCAUGUUUCCUCCCCUGGAACAGAGUCAGCAGGGCAUAGUCUCCAUGAGUGUGCAUGGUUGGGUGUGGGUGUAAAGCUUGUUUGUAUAAUAAUGUGCAUAUUUUCAUGUUCCUCCUUCAGGGAACAUUCUCCCUGAUAACGUUAAUGACUCCAUGAUAAUUAGAAACAGCAUUAGUCCAGGAGUUGAGGGUGUGUCUUAUUUCUCAGCAAAAUUGUAAAUGCUGAGACCUUCAGGACAGCCCUAAAGGCUGUGGGAAAGAACUCUAAAAACAUGAGUUCAAAAAUAUAUAAUUUAUCAACUAUGCAAAAUAUAAGGAUACAAUAUGCAUUGUAUAAGGUAUAUCACAGAUCUAAAAGAACAGAGGCAGCUGUACUGUGAGACAGCUUGUCAGAAAGAUAGUAAGGAAGGAGAUAAGAAAUUUAGGAAGUGGUAUUACAGGGCAAGAUCCCACCCAGCUAAGUUGGUUGUUGCUGUUUACAGAUUCCCGAGUUCAAGGUCAGCCUAGGAAGACAGAGGAAGUUUAGUUUCAGGUGCAGGCAUAGAAGGAAUGGUAAAAGUCAGGGUGGGGUCCCACCCAGCCUGUUUAUUGUCUGUGCUUUAAAAAGGCAGGCAAAUCUCUGAAUUCACUUUCAGGUAGCUGGGGUGGGAGGCAGUGAGUAGGAUGUAAAGUGAAUAAAUAAAAGAUGUUUUAAAAUGUGCUUGCUGUCUCUUUCUGAGAAUCAAGGGGAUGGGUCUGGGUGUGCUGAUUCGUGGGACAAGCAAAAGGGAACCUGGGGUAAAGACUGAAUUGAUAUGUAAAUGAAAGACCCAGCUUUUGGUCUGCAAAACGUGAGCUAUCCAGAGAGUUUUUUAGACUAGCAAGAGAAAGCUGUCCGGAGAACUUAGCUUGUAACCCACAAUUUGACCUCAAGUCAUUCGUUUCUCCACUUCCAAACAGCCUCUAAGCCAAGACUAGUCCUUGGCAUGUAUCUUUAAGUAAUUGGGAGAAAAUGAGAGUACUAGUAUAUGACUUGUUUAAAUCAUAGUCACAUAAUUCACAGUCCAAAGCCCAUUCCUCCGUAUAAUAUCUGUUCCAGCAGAGACCAUUGGGACCAGAAAACCCUAACUGUUUGGCCCUCUACAGAUAAUGUUUACCAACCCCUGCCUUUAAAAGCCUCCCUAAAGAUUUAUUAAAAGCCUCCCUAAAGAGUUUGAAUCAGUAAUUCCAGCUGUACAUGUGAUAAUGGUUGAUUUAAAACAGGAUGGCAAAAGGAACAUAUACAUCAGAUACCAUUUAGAAAGCUUGUUUUGAGGAAUAGGGAUUGUCUUAGUUAUUGUUCUAUUGCUCUGAAGAGACACCCUGACCACGGCAACUCUUAUAAAGGAAAACAUUUAAUUGGAGCGUUAGUUUGUUAUCAUCAGGACCGGAAGCAUGGCAGCAUGCAGGCAGACGUGGUGAUGGAGA